CUCCAUCUGACUGCAAAGGAGGCUGGGAAAUGUCAACCUAGGCAGCCAUGUUCCUGGCCACCAUUCUAUUACUUUGAAAGAAGAAAAUGGACUUAGGACGAAGGAUGUGGCUCAGACAUCUAGGAGAUCUGAAGUGGUGAGAACAAGAGUGGAUCUAGGAGUGAAUACCAUUGGGCGAUGUGUUAAUUUCCAAGGACUGCUGUAACUAAGUAGCACAAACUGGGUGCUUAAAACAACAAAAUAUACCACCGCACACUUCUGGAGGCUAGAAGUCUGACAUCUAGGUACCAUCCAAGCCCUAGGGAAAUAAGAUGCAGCACCAAGGUACCAAGGAAAAGGGUAGAAGCACUCCGAGUUGACCUGAGAUGAACUUUUCACCACUCUUGAAGAAUGAGGACUUGAACUAGUGAUCACUUUCAGUUCUAGAAAAAUAAGGUGGCCGGGUGAGGUGGCUCAUGCCUGUACUCCCAGUGCUUUGGGAGGCCGAGGUGGGCGGAUCACGAGAUCAGGAGUUUGAGACUAGCCCGGCCAACAUGGUGAAACCUCGUCUCUACUAAAAAUACAAAAAAUUAGCUGGGCAAGGUGGUGGGCACCUGUAAUCCCAGCUGCUCAGGAGGCUGAGGCAGGAGAAUUGCUUGAACCCGGGAGGCAGAGGUUGCAGUGAGCCGAGAUCACGCCAUUGCACUCCAGCCUGGGCGACAGUGCGAGGCUCUCAAAACAAACAAACAAAAAAAAAUGCACAAAAAACAAAAAUAAGAUUACAUCUCUUAAGUCUCUAAAUUGGGAACUGAAAUUCACACCUGCAACAUCUUUAAUGAUCCAAUGGAAAGAAGUCCAAACUCCUUGACCAGGGUUUGACAAAUUAUGGCCCACGGGCCAAAUUUGGUUGGCUGCCUGUUUUUGUUAUUAAAGAGUUUUUGGAAUACUG
rnacentral:lncRNA from 10 species